rnacentral:rRNA from 1 species
AUGCAAGUCGAACGGCAGCACGGAGCUUGCUCUGGUGGCGAGUGGCGAACGGGUGAGUAAUAUAUCGGAACGUACCCUAGAGUGGGGGAUAACGUAGCGAAAGUUACGCUAAUACCGCAUACGAUCUAAGGAUGAAAGUGGGGGAUCGCAAGACCUCAUGCUCGUGGAGCGGCCGAUAUCUGAUUAGCUAGUUGGUAGGGUAAAAGCCUACCAAGGCAUCGAUCAGUAGCUGGUCUGAGAGGACGACCAGCCACACUGGAACUGAGACACGGUCCAGACUCCUACGGGAGGCAGCAGUGGGGAAUUUUGGACAAUGGGCGAAAGCCUGAUCCAGCAAUGCCGCGUGAGUGAAGAAGGCCUUCGGGUUGUAAAGCUCUUUUGUCAGGGAAGAAACGGUGAAAGCUAAUAUCUUUUGCUAAUGACGGUACCUGAAGAAUAAGCACCGGCUAACUACGUGCCAGCAGCCGCGGUAAUACGUAGGGUGCAGGCGUUAAUCGGAAUUACUGGGCGUAAAGCGUGCGCAGGCGGUUUUGUAAGUCUGAUGUGAAAUCCCCGGGCUC